rnacentral:rRNA from 1 species
AUUUGAAAGCUGCCAACAGGCCGCAUUGUAAUUUGUAGAAUAUGCUUUGGGUGUUGACCUAGUCUAAGUUCCUUGGAACAGGACGUCAUACAGGGUGAGAAUCCCGUAUGUGAUUAGUGUCCGCCCCCGUGUAAAGCUCUUUCGACGAGUCGAGUUGUUUGGGAAUGCAGCUCAAAAUGGGUGGUAAAUUUCAUCUAAAGCUAAAUAUUGGCCAGAGACCGAUAGCGCACAAGUAGAGUGAUCGAAAGAUGAAAAGCACUUUGGAAAGAGAGUUAAACAGUACGUGAAAUUGUUGAAAGGGAAGCGCUUGCAAUCAGACUUGCAGGCAGUCGAUCAUCCGAGGUUCUCCUCGGUGCACUCGAUUGUCUUCAGGCCAGCAUCGGUUUCGGUGGGGGGAUAAAGGCUGUGGGAAUGU